UACGUAGGGUGCAAGCGUUGUCCGGAAUUAUUGGGCGUAAAGAGCUCGUAGGCGGUUUGUCGCGUCUUCUGUGAAAACCCGAGGCUCAACCUCGGGCCUGCAGUGGGUACGGGCAGACUAGAGUGCGGUAGGGGAGAUUGGAAUUCCUGGUGUAGCGGUGGAAUGCGCAGAUAUCAGGAGGAACACCAAUGGCGAAGGCAGAUCUCUGGGCCGUAACUGACGCUGAGGAGCGAAAGCAUGGGGAGCGAACAGG
rnacentral:rRNA from 1 species